rnacentral:rRNA from 1 species
AUGAACGCUGGCGGCGUGCUUAACACAUGCAAGUCGAACGAAGCACUUUAACCUGAUUCUUCGGAUGAAGGUUUUUGUGACUGAGUGGCGGACGGGUGAGUAACGCGUGGGUAACCUGCCUCAUACAGGGGGAUAACAGUUAGAAAUGACUGCUAAUACCGCAUAAGACCACAGAGCCGCAUGGCUCGGUGGGAAAAACUCCGGUGGUAUGAGAUGGACCCGCGUCUGAUUAGGUAGUUGGUGGGGUAACGGCCUACCAAGCCAACGAUCAGUAGCCGACCUGAGAGGGUGACCGGCCACAUUGGGACUGAGACACGGCCCAAACUCCUACGGGAGGCAGCAGUGGGGAAUAUUGCACAAUGGGGGAAACCCUGAUGCAGCGACGCCGCGUGAGCGAAGAAGUAUUGCGGUAUGUAAAGCUCUAUCAGCAGGGAAGAAAAUGACGGUACCUGACGAAGAAGCACCGGCUAAAUACGUG